rnacentral:rRNA from 1 species
GAUGAACGCUGGCGGCGUGCCUAAUACAUGCAAGUCGAGCGAACAGACGAGGAGCUUGCUCCUUCGACGUUAGCGGCGGACGGGUGAGUAACACGUAGGUAACCUACCUAUAAGACUGGGAUAACUUCGGGAAACCGGAGCUAAUACCGGAUAAUAUUUCGAACCGCAUGGUUCGAUAGUGAAAGAUGGCUUUGCUAUCACUUAUAGAUGGACCUGCGCCGUAUUAGCUAGUUGGUAAGGUAACGGCUUACCAAGGCAACGAUACGUAGCCGACCUGAGAGGGUGAUCGCCCACACUGAAACUGAGACACGGUCCAGACUCAUACGGGAGGCAGCAGUAGGGAAUCUUCCGCAAGGGGCGAAAGCCUGACGGAGAAACGCCGCGUGAGUGAUGAAGGUCUUCGGAGCGUAAAACUCUGUUAUUAGGGAAGAACAAACGUGUAAGUAACUGUGCACGUCGUGACGGUACCUAAUCAGAAAGCCACGGCUAACUACG